rnacentral:rRNA from 1 species
UACAGAGGUCUCAAGCGUUGUUCGGAUUCAUUGGGCUUAAAGGGUGCGUAGGCGGCGCGGUAAGUCGGGUGUGAAAUCUCGGAGCUUAACUUCGAAACUGCAUUCGAUACUGCCGUGCUUGAGGACUGGAGAGGAGACUGGAAUUUACGGUGUAGCGGUGAAAUGCGUAGAUAUCGUAAGGAAGACCAGUGGCGAAGGCGGGUCUCUGGACAGUUCCUGACGCUGAGGCACGAAGGUCAGGGGAGCAAACGGG